rnacentral:rRNA from 1 species
GUGUCAGCAGCCGCGGUAAUACAGAGGGUGCGAGCGUUGUUCGGAAUUACUGGGCGUAAAGCGCGCGCAGGCGGCUCUUUAAGUCCGUCGGUGAAAGACCGGGGCUCAACCCCGCGUCAGCCAUGGAUACUGGAGGGCUGGAGACAGGUAGAGGCAAGCGGAAUUCCGGGUGUAGCGGUGGAAUGCGUAGAGAUCCGGAAGAACACCGGAGGCGAAGGCGGCUUGCUGGACCUGGUCUGACGCUGAGGCGCGAAAGCGUGGGGAGCGAACAGGAUUAGAUACCCUCGUAGUCC